rnacentral:rRNA from 1 species
CCUACGGGGGGCUGCAGUGGGGAAUAUUGGACAAUGGGCGAAAGCCUGAUCCAGCCAUGCCGCGUGUGUGAAGAAGGCCUUCGGGUUGUAAAGCACUUUCAGUGGGGAAGAAAGCCUUGGGGCUAAUACCCUCGAGGAAGGACAUCACCCACAGAAGAAGCACCGGCUAACUCCGUGCCAACAGCCGCGGUAAUACGGAGGGUGCGAGCGUUAAUCGGAAUUACUGGGCGUAAAGCGCGCGUAGGCGGUCUGAUAAGCCGGUUGUGAAAGCCCCGGGCUCAAUCUGGGAACGGCAUCCGGAACUGUCAGGCUAGAGUGCAGGAGAGGAAGGUAGAAUUCCCGGUGUAGCGGUGAAAUGCGUAGAGAUCGGGAGGAAUACCAGUGGCGAAGGCGGCCUUCUGGACUGACACUGACGCUGAGGUGCGAAAGCGUGGGUAGCAAACAGGAUUAGAUACCCGAGUAGUC